GACGAACGCUGGCGGCGUGCUUAACACAUGCAAGUCGAACGGAAAGGCCCUGCUUUUGUGGGGUGCUUGAGUGGCGAACGGGUGAGUAACACGUGAGUAACACGCCCUUGACUUUGGGAUAACUUUAGGAAACUGGGGCUAAUACCGGAUAGGAGCUCCUGCUGCAUGGUGGGGGUUGGAAAGUUUCGGCGGUUGGGGAUGGACUGGCGGCUUAUCAGCUUGUUGGUGGGGUAGUGGCUUACCAAGGCUUUGACGGGUAGCCGGCCUGAGAGGGGGACCGGCGACAUGGGGACUGAGAUACGGCCCAGACGCCUACGGGAGGCAGCAGUGGGGAAUAUUGCACAAUGGGCGGAAGCCUGAUGCAGCAACGCCGCGUGCGUGAUGACGUCCUUCGGGUUGUAAACCGCUUUCUCCUGUGACGAAGCGUGAUUGACGGUAAUGGGUAAAAAAGCACCGGCUAACUACGUG
rnacentral:rRNA from 1 species